rnacentral:lncRNA from 1 species
NNNNNNNNNNNNNNNNNGGCAGCUCCGGCAGGCCAGGGACCAGGCCCCCCUGCCCUCCGCCCUGCCCCCCGGCCUGCCCCCCCCCGCCUCCCCCUCGGGUGCCAGCCAGGGCCGCCGCGGCCCCUCCGCCAGCCUCUUCAGCAAGUUCACCUCCAAGUUCGUCCGCAGGUGAGCAGGGGGGGGGGAGGGAUUGUCACCCACCUCGGUGCUGUGUGGCCUCCUGGGCUGCCUCCCCUCUGUGUGUCCCCACUGCUCCUCUGUGUCACCUCUGUGUGUCCCCAGGGAUCCUUUGUGUCACCUCAUCCCCCCAGGGAUCCCCUGUGUCCCCACUGUUCCUCUGUGUCCCCUCUGUGUGUCUCCUUGUCCCCCCCGGGGCUCUCCUGUGUCCCCUCUGUGUGUCCCCAGGGAUCCUUUGUGUCACCUCAUCCCCCCAGGGAUCCUCUGUGUCCCCUCUGUGUGUCCCCAGGGCCUGUGUGUCCCCUCUGUGUCCCCCCGGGGCUCUCCUGUGUCCCCUCUGUGUGUCCCCAGGGAUCCUUUGUGUCACCUCAUCCCCCCAGGGAUCCUCUGUGUCCCCUCUGUGUGUCCCCAGGGCCUGUGUGUCCCCUCUGUGUCCCCCCGGGGCUCUCCUGUGUCCCCUCUGUGUGUCCCCAGGGAUCCUUUGUGUCACCUCAUCCCCCCAGGGAUCCUCUGUGUCCCCUCUGUGUGUCCCCAGGGCCUGUGUGUCCCCUCUGUGUCCCCCCGGGGCUCUCCUGUGUCCCCUCUGUGUGUCCCCAGGGAUCCUUUGUGUCACCUCAUCCCCCCAGGGAUCCUCUGUGUCCCCUCUGUGUGUCCCCAGGGCCUGUGUGUCCCCUCUGUGUCCCCCCGGGGCUCUCCUGUGUCCCCUCUGUGUGUCCCCAGGGAUCCCCUGUGUCUCCACUGCUCCUCUGUGCCCCCCCUGCGUGUCCCCUUGUCACCCCUGGGGCUCCUCCUUGUCCCCCCCGGGGCUCUCCUGUGUGUCCCCAGGGAUCCUCUGUCACCUCUGUGUGUCCCCAGGGAUCCCCUGUGUCCCCACUGCUCCCCCGUGUCCCCUCAUCCUGGGGCUCCUCUGUGUCCUCUCUGUGUGUCCCCUUCCCCAUGUGUCCCCUCUGUGUGUCCCCAGGGAUCCCCUGUGUCCCCACUGCUCCUUUGUGUCACCUCUGUGUCCCCAGGGAUCCUCCUGUGUCACCUCAUCCCCCCAGGGAUCCUCUGUGUCCCCUCUGUGUGUCCCCAGGGAUCCCCCGUGUCCCCACUGCUCCUCUGUGUCCCCUCUGUGUGUCCCCUUGUCCCCCUGGGGCUCCUCCUUGUCCCCCCCGGGGCUCUCCUGUGUCCCCAGGGCUCCUCUGUGUCCCCUCUAUGUGUCUCCUUCCCCACGUGUCCCCUCUGUGUCCCCUCGUCCCCCCCAAGGGGAUCUUCCUCUGUCCCCUCUGUGUGUCCCUUUGUCACCCCCAGGGCUUUUCCCUGUCCCCUUUUAGGACCCCAGGACAGUUCCUUGUCCCUCUGUGUCCCCCCCCCCCAGGGGCUCUUCCAUGUCCCUUCUUGUCCCCUGGGGGCUCUUCUGCAUGUCCCCUCCUGUCACCCCCUGUCCCCUCCGUGUCCCCAUCCCCUCUGUCCCCUCAGGGCUCCUCCUGUCCCCCCAAAUCCCCUGCCACCCCCU